AACGCACAUUGCGCCCCCUGGUAUUCCGGGGGGCAUGCCUGUUCGAGCGUCAUUUCACCACUCAAGCCUCGCUUGGUAUUGGGCAACGCGGUCCGCCGCGUGCCUCAAAUCGUCCGGCUGGGUCUUCUGUCCCCUAAGCGUUGUGGAAACUAUUCGCUAAAGGGUGUUCGGGAGGCUACGCCGUAAAACAACCCCAUUUCUAAGGUUGACCUCGGAUCAGGUAGGGAUACCCGCUGAACUUAA
rnacentral:misc_RNA from 5 species